rnacentral:lncRNA from 1 species
CGAAUAUCUCUGUUCCGUCGGCUAAAAGUCUGUGAGUAAAGCCAACGACAUAUGACGACACAGGACGUCGUCGUCUAAAGGCUGAGAUUAUAGCCGACGACACAGGACGUCGUCGGCUAAAGUCUGGAACAAUAGCCGACAAAAAAUAGUUCGUCGGCUAAAGUCUGGGAAAUAGCCGACGACGGUCUGUAGGUUCGUCGGCUAAAGCCAUCACCGACGACCUUUUCCCGACGACACUAUAGCCGACGAAGGCUCGUCGGCUAAGGUCUUAGCCGACGAAUUAGGAUAACAGGCCGACGAAUAGUUUUCGUCGGCUAAAGUACUUGUCCUGGUGGUGUAACAUUUUUCAAUUAAUUUGCAAGAAUCAUGCGGUUUGUUUUAUUUUUAUGAAAAAAUCUAGGUGAAAUGAAUACAUUCUAUGAUCUAUACAUAAGGUAAAAUAUAAUAUAAAUAAGAUAUCUGAUUAUUUGAAUAAAAAGAAGAAAUUUUAUAGUGUUACCGUAAGCCCUAAGCCCUAAGCCCUAAGCCCUAAACCCUAAACCAUAAACCCUAAACCCUAUAACCUAUACCCUAAACCCUAAACCUUAUACCCUACACCCUAUACCCUAUACCCUAUACCCUAUAUCCUAAACCCUAAACCCUAUACCCUAUACUGUAUACCCUAUACCCUAUACCCUAUACUCUAAACCUAUACCCUAACCCUAUAUCCUAAACCCAAUUUUGGGUUUCUUCUUUUUAGGUAUAUUAUCAUAUCAUGUCCUACUUAAUAG